UACGUAGGGUCCGAGCGUUGUCCGGAAUUAUUGGGCGUAAAGGCUCGUAGGCGGUCCGUCACGUCGGGAGUGAAAACUCGGAGCUCAACUCCGAGCCUGCUUCCGAUACGGGCAGACUAGAGGUAGGCAGGGGAGAGCGGAACUCCAGGUGUAGCGGUGAAAUGCGUAGAUAUCUGGAGGAACACCGGUGGCGAAGGCGGCAUCCUGGACCGACACUGACGCUGAGGAGCGAAAGCCAGGGGAGCAAACGGG
rnacentral:rRNA from 1 species